AAGCCAUGUUGUGGACACUUCCUUAGAAGUCCUUUGAAUCGUUCCCAAGCCUCGUACAGAGAUUCGCUUUCUUUUUGUUCAAAGGAGGUGAUUUCCCCUUAGAGUCU